rnacentral:piRNA from 1 species
UGGCUGGAGGCAAGAUAUGCUGGUGGCAA